CAUUCAUUAAAAAAAUAAAAAUAAAAGACUCGGAGCAUUUUAAAAGCUUGUUAAUAUCUUCUUAAUAUAAUUCAGCCAAAAAAAAACCUCUUAGUAUAAACUGCCCUAGGUUUAAACCAAUAAUAUUCGUCGUACAAAAUUCAAACAGAACAAUUGAGUAAGAAAACCCGGUUUUUUUUUUUUGUUCAACUCUAUCCCUAAGCCUUCGUGGGUCUUCGUUUUUCUCUCUUUUUCCAAUGCUUGGUUAUGCACUUUCUUCAUUGCUUUGUGUUUGUUUAGUUGUUCCAAUUGGGUAUUGAUGAGUGUUUCUUCAUGUCGUUAAUAUGCUUUCUUGGGUGUGGUUUGAUCCGCCGCCAAGUGCACUUCCAACGCCAAUGCUUGUUCAGGUUCUAUUCCUCUGCUUCUUCUGCAUUGAUGUUAGAAGACCACGUGUUUGAUGAAAGUCCAAAAUCUCAUUUUGUUAUUAAUAGGCCUGCACCUCAUGUUCCCGCAACGAGGAGCGAGUUGUUUCCUUUAGUGUCUAGGGUGUUCAAAUCACUGAGUUGGAGUGUGGCAAGAAAAAAAAAGUUUGGGAAUUGGGUUGAGUGUCAUGGGUUUUCUCAUUCAAUCAGUUGCUUUAGGAUAAUCGUUCAUGCGUUUGCUUUGGCGGGGAUGCGUUUGGAAGUGUGGGCUUUGCUUAGAGAUAUUGUUGGCUUCUGUAAUGAGGCCAAGUAUGAUACCUUUGAAUUGUUUUCAGCUUUUCUGGAUUCACCCCAGCACGUGGAAAGAUCCGGUGUUGUGUUUGAUGUGCUCAUAAGCGUGUUUGCAUCCAACUCUAUGCUGGAAAAUGCUCUUGAUGUGUUUUCGAAUACUAAGCAUGUUGGGCUUGAGCCUGAUAUUAGGACUUGCAAUUUCUUGCUGAAAUGCUUGGUUGAGGCGAAUAGAGUGGAGUUUGUUAGACGGGUUUUUGAGGAAUUGAAGGACCGUGGUCCAUCGCCAAAUAUCUACACUUAUACAAUCAUGAUGAAUUUUUAUUGUAGUGAUGUUGGGUGUGAUGCAGGUAUGAGACAGGCUGCUGUGAUUCUGGGAAAAAUAUAUCGGAGUGGGGAAAAGCCAACUGUUGUCACAUAUAGUACUUAUAUUCAUGGACUUUGUAAAGUUGGUAAUGUUGAGGCUGCUCUGAUGUUAAUUCGCAACUUGCACUAUACAAACCAGCCCCUCAAUAGCCAUUCUUUUAAUGAUGUAAUUUAUGGAUUUUGUAAAAGAGGUGAAGUGUUUGAGGCUUUGCAAGUUUUGGAAGAAAUGAAGAGCUCUGGGAUAUUACCAGAUGUUUAUAGCUACAGCAUCUUAAUUAAUGCCUUCUGCGGGAAAGGUGAUGUAAUGAAAUGUCUUGACUUGAUGGAGGAAAUGGAACACUCCCAGAUAAAACCAUCCAUUGUUAGCUACACCUCCCUCAUCCAUGGUCUGUGCAAGAAGAAUAUGUUACAAAAUGCAGUGGAUAUAUUCCAUAGUAUUGGUGCUUCUAGUUGCAAAUAUGAUUCGACUGUUUAUGAAACUUUAAUUGAUGGAUUUUGCAUGCAAGGUGAUAUGGAUUCAGCCAUCAAGCUUUUGGAGGAGAUGAUCUGCAACGAAUUGGUUCCUACUGCUUUUAGUUGCCGCAGUCUAAUUAGGGGAUACUACAAACUGGGACUAUUCGAUCAGGCAUUGGAAGUUUUUAAUGCCAUGCUACGAGAUGGUAUUUGGCCAGAUACCAUCGCUUGCAAUUAUAUUCUUGAUGGAUCUUGCAGGGCAGGGUACUUCAAAGAAGCCUUGACACUGUUGGAGGACUUCCAAGAACAUGGAUUUAACCUCAACCCACAUUCAUAUAAUGCAAUCAUCUACAAACUUUAUAAAGAAGGUUAUCCAGAAAGAGCAUUGGAGCUCCUGCCAAGAAUGCUUAAAAGGAAUGUACUUCCCUCAGUUGUUAAUUAUAGUACUCUUAUAUCUGGCUUUGCCAAACAGUCAAAUUUUAAAAGGGCCGUGAACUUAUUCACGAGAAUGGUAAAAGUGGGGAUCACUUUCAACAUUGCCACGUAUACAAUUCUUAUGAGCAUAUUUAGCCAUAGUCACAAAAUGCAUGAAGCAUAUGGAAUUUUUAAGGAAAUGAAAGAAAGGGGUUUAUGUCUAGAUCAGAUUUCAUAUACAACUUUAAUAGUUGGUUUUUGUAAUAACAGAGAAAUGAAAAAGGCCUGGGCAUUAUUUGAAGAAAUGUCGAGGGAAGGCUGUUCGCCAAAUGUAAUUACUUAUACUUGUAUAAUUGAUGGAUUUUGCAAGUCAAACCGGAUAGAUUUGGCCACUUGGGUGUUUGAUAAAAUGAACAGAGAUUCAGUUAUUCCUGAUGUUGUGACUUACACCGUCCUCAUUGAUUGGUAUCACAAGCAUGGGUAUUUCGAUCAGGCACAUAAGUUAUAUGAUGUAAUGAAGGAUAAGGGUGUUUUGCCAGAUGAUAUAAUUCAUAAUGUUCUAGGUCUGAAAGCUGGCACAGUUCAAGAAGGUUAGGCAGCUGCAUCAGGCUUCCAUGAUAUCCCGCUGAAUCAGAAGAUUGAAUAUUUCAUUUUCGGUGCUGUGAUCCAAAGGAGGCAUAUUGAGUGGUAAAGAGAGUCAAAUUUGGUCAGGAAGAUGAAUCCACCCUUUAGGUAAAUGCUGAAUCAUCAUGCAGAAGUGGAUGAAUGGGAGUUAAUAAAUCAUUAUCACUGAAAAAAUGGAGUGCUAGAUACGGUUGAGUAGUUGUAGACCUAUAUGGAACACUUAACACAAGCAUGAUUGCAGCCAUUAUCUGCAUUUGGGUUCUUAGCCUGGUGCUUGAGGAGAAGGCUGUGCCUUGAUGUUCAUAAAAUAUUCUUGAAGAUGUAUAUGUUCAGCAUUUAAAGAUGGGUAUUCAAUUAAUAAUUAUAUUAUUCUAUUGGAAAGCAAGCUUCAUCUCUCACAUUGGGAGAUCAUCUUUCAGCAUGCAUCACCAUGACCUUGGGACCAGAAUACUUGGUAUCUUUUUUCUAAAGCUGUACCCAAUGCUUAAUAGUCACUGCAACGUAAUGCUGCUACACUAUGAAAAACUGUUCAUUGGUGUAUUUCAAAAGUUAGUGACCAAUUGAUUUGGCUUUUGUCUGCUUAAAGAUGAUACCGGAGAUAAUACAGCAGGAAAGAAGAUGAUAAACACUAGACAAAAAGCUGGAGAUUUCCAUUCUCUACUUAAAGAUGUCAUUGGGCUAAUUGGGUCUCAUUUUCCUGUUUGCAUUGACUUCAUCCCAAGGACAAGAAUGUCGGAGCUAUUUCUCUGUUUUUUUUUUUUUUAUCCUUAUUAUAGGAAGAUCAAAAGCAAAGGGACACCAAAAGAUUAAUGAAAUGCUCAGUAUGAAAGAAAUUCAUCGUGAUUCUAAGCUGUACCCUUCUUGUGACAUGGCAAUUUCUCUAAACUGAAGGCUGUAACAAAAAGAAAUGUGGUAAUUGUGAACAAUACUCUGCUACCACUGCAACAAAGCAAUUGAUGCAUCAGAUCCAAAUGGACAUUUC